rnacentral:rRNA from 1 species
CAAUAGCGUAUAUUUAAGUUGUUGCAGUUAAAAAGCUCGUAGUUGGAUUUCGGGUGGGACGCAGCGGUCUCGCAUUGCGUUUGUACUGCUGCAGCCCUCCUUCUUGCCGGGGGCGGCCUCUCGGACUUCACUGUCUGGGGGUCAGAAUCGGCGAUGUUACUUUGAGUAAAUUAGAGUGUUCAAAGCAAGCUUACGCUCUGAAUAUAAUAGCAUGGGAUAACACGACAGGACUCUGGCCUAUCGUGUUGGUCUAUAGGACCAGAGUAAUGAUUAAGAGGGACUGUCGGGGGCAUUCGUAUUCCGUUGUCAGAGGUGAAAUUCUUGGAUUUACGGAAGACGAACAUCUGCGAAAGCAUUUGCCAAGGAUGUUUUCAUUGA